rnacentral:rRNA from 1 species
UAAGGGCUCACCAAGGCGACGAUCCCUAGCUGGUCUGAGAGGAUGAUCAGCCACACUGGAACUGAGACACGGUCCAGACUCCUACGGGAGGCAGCAGUGGGGAAUAUUGCACAAUGGGCGCAAGCCUGAUGCAGCCAUGCCGCGUGUGUGAAGAAGGCCUUCGGGUUGUAAAGCACUUUCAGUCGUGAGGAAGGUGGUAUUGUUAAUAGCAGNAUCAUUUGACGUUAGCGACAGAAGAAGCACCGGCUAACUCCGUGCCAGCAGCCGCGGUAAUACGGAGGGUGCGAGCGUUAAUCGGAAUUACUGGGCGUAAAGCGCAUGCAGGUGGUUUGUUAAGUCAGAUGUGAAAGCCCGGGGCUCAACCUCGGAAUAGCAUUUGAAACUGGCAGACUAGAGUACUGUAGAGGGGGGUAGAAUUUCAGGUGU